GGUGACUCAGUGGUAGAGUGCCUGCCUCAAAUGCAGGAGGUCCUGGGUUCGAUUCCUCAGCACCA
rnacentral:tRNA from 1 species